rnacentral:rRNA from 1 species
GGAUAACCUGCCCUUGGGACCGGCAUAACCCCGGGAAACUGGGGAUAAUUCCGGAUAACGCAUAUGUGCUGGAAUGCUUUAUGCGUAAAAUGGAUUCGUCUGCCCAAGGAUGGGUCUGCGGCCUAUCAGGUAGUAGUGGGUGUAAUGUACCUACUAGCCAGCGACGGGUACGGGUUGUGAGAGCAAGAGCCCGGAGAUGGAUUCUGAGACAUGAAUCCAGGCCCUACGGGGCGCAGCAGGCGCGAAAACUUUACAAUGCGGGAAACCGUGAUAAGGGGACACCGAGUGCCAGCAUCAUAUGCUGGCUGUCCAGGUGUGUAAAAUACACUUGUUAGCAAGGGCCGGGCAAGACCGGUGCCAGCCGCCGCGGUAACACCGGCGGCCCGAGUGGUGAUCGUGAUUAUUGGGUCUAAAGGGUCCGUAGCCGGUUUGGUCAGUCCUCCGGGAAAUCUGAUAGCUCAACUAUUAGGCUUUCGGGGGAUACUGCCAGACUUGGAACCGGGAGAGGUAAGAGGUACUACAGGGGUAGGAGUGAAAUCUUGUAAUCCCUGUGGGACCACCUGUGGCGAAGGCGUCUUACCAGAACGGGUUCGACGGUGAGGGACGAAAGCUGGGGGCACGAACCGGAUUAGAUACCCGGGUAGUCCCAGCCGUAAACUAUGCUCGCUAGGUGUCAGGGACGGUGCGACCGUUUCUGUGCCGCAGGGAAGCCGUGAAGCGAGCCACCUGGGAAGUACGGUCGCAAGGCUGAAACUUAA